CAAGCGCCGAUCGCCGCCACAGCUCCGAUUCCUUCUCUCGCAUGAUUUUCUUUGCGAAUUCACAAACCUCAUCGAUUUUCCCCCUUAGCUUCUUCUCCUUCCCCAAACCUUCGCCUCCUACUUCUCCGAAACCGCCGCUGAGGAUUCAUGAGAUUGAACAGAGCAUUGCGAUUCAGAUAUAUGCUAUAAUACGUAGACGAAACAUGAAAAGCAAUAAAAAGUCAAUGAAUAGCCAGAAAGGGGACUAGCUUACGAGAGUAAUGGAGAAAUUCGAGCUGCCGGUGGGGGAGGGUGGCGCAGACGAAGAUGCGCUGCCGGAAAAGGAGAGCAAUUGAGCGCGAACGUUGAUCGUGGAGUGGGUGGGUAUUAGGGUUUGAUCGGAAGAUCCCCUUUGAUCGAUAAAACAUCUCAUUUAAUAAAAAUGAAAUUACCAUUAUACCAUUUCAUAAUAAUUAAUCUAAAAAUUAUGUUUAUGUGGCCAAUUUUGGACAACUCAUUUAAUAAAAAUGAGAUGCAUUAUAUUCUCAAUUAGACUAAAAAAUCUCAAUUGAUCACAACCCGUAGCCACCAUAUAUAAUAGAAUCAUUUUUGCUAGAGUGAUUUCAAGUUUUGAUAUUUUACCCGUAGCCAGGCAUUUUAAAAAUCGGAACGAAUAUUUAAGUCUUUUUGAAUAGGAAAAUCGAUUUUGCGAAUGUGAAAGGACCGAUGUUUGACUCGAUUUGGCAUCCGUGAUGUCCAGGAGGAGGAUAGGAAUGACUAUAGAGUAAAUUGUAAACCAUUAUUGACUCAUUAACUUGUCAUCAGUUUGUAGUCUGGUUGUUGGCGAGUUAAACAAUAAGACCAAACACGCAUUUACUAAAAA